UGUGUCUGUUUUUGUCUGCCUUUGUCUGCCUUGAGGACUAAGACUUAUGAACAGGUGCAGAAAAUAAAUCCUCUUUUGCAACCCAGAACUCAUUGUUCAGUGUGAGAUUUGAUACAUAGAAGAAGGAACAUU
ensembl:snoRNA